rnacentral:rRNA from 1 species
UACUCUUGACAUCCAGAGAACUUAGCAGAGAUGCUUUGGUGCCUUCGGGAACUCUGAGACAGGUGCUGCAUGGCUGUCGUCAGCUCGUGUUGUGAAAUGUUGGGUUAAGUCCCGCAACGAGCGCAACCCUUAUCCUUUGUUGCCAGCGGUUAGGCCGGGAACUCAAAGGAGACUGCCAGUGAUAAACUGGAGGAAGGUGGGGAUGACGUCAAGUCAUCAUGGCCCUUACGAGUAGGGCUACACACGUGCUACAAUGGCGCAUACAAAGAGAAGCGACCUCGCGAGAGCAAGCGGACCUCAUAAAGUGCGUCGUAGUCCGGAUUGGAGUCUGCAACUCGACUCCAUGAAGUCGGAAUCGCUAGUAAUCGUGGAUCAGAAUGCCACGGUGAAUACGUUCCCGGGUCUUGUACACACGCA